GUCAAAAACACAAGGUUUGACAACGUUGCUGUGCCAGUUACGACUAUGAGAAGCCCUCCCCCUGGUUCAUCCAGAAACACCCAUAAAAGCUGAUGGUUUCUGCAGGUGUUUCUCCAUCCCCUCCGGUGGCGCCAGGACACCUUUAGUGCCUGUCACUGUGGUUGGUUCUCCCAGCUCACCUGUCCUAACGUGUCUCGGGCGUUCUUGAAUGGGAGGUUGCAGGGCUACGUAAAAUAAUAAUAAAUAAUUAUCUGUAUGAAGGAUCUCUCCCUUCCCAGCAGGUCUGAAUUAGCAUCCUCUUUCUAGAAGAGUCUCUUAGGAUGUUAAUUGUCAUCUGCCCCCUGGGAUGUGUCUAAGCAAACCUUCUACCAGCAAGGUCUAUUAGCAUGUUAAUGUCCUCCUCACUCCUGGAAGUCUCUCUGUAUCACUGGCUUAAUCGUCAAACAGCUUAAUUUACAGACACAAAAUUAAACUGGUUGCAAUUAAUCUCUACGGGCCAGUCAUAGCUCGAGCUGAGCACAAACACCGGCCCCGUGCGAGCCACGCCAGCCCUCGCCACCAGCGCCCUUUGCUCGCAGAGACGAGCGUCACGUCUUCACCCAGCACACGGAGGGACCCGCGGUGGGAGGUAUUUGACACUCCCGCUACGUUUGGGGGAGGAAAUAGCUCUGGAAAUGCUGACUGAGGGGGGGAGGCUCCCUCUAGCUCGGGCUGUGCCCACAGAGGCGAGAGGCAUGGGAUUUCCAGUGCGGAAACACGCACAGCGAAGUGCACCAGGGGGCUGAGGGCCCCACCACUGGGGUCCUCCCGCACCUCAGCUUCACUCGAGGCGUGUCACGCUGCCGCCACCGAUUCUGCGAUUAGACCUGGUGCUAAUUAAGCACGAUCUAUUUUUAAAGGAGUUGCAUCAUUAGACUUGCAGCCCAAUUAGAAGCGAAGCAGUGCGGUUUGCUUAGACAGGGCUUCGUUGCCUUCUAGCAGGCUGAGCCGACAGGGAGCCCAACGUGCCUCGCCCUGCCUGCCUUACAGUUCUGCUGCGGCUUCGGGGAAGCAAACCUGCCCCCACUGAACGAGGCAGGGCACUGGAAGCUGGGUGGACCCAAGCUCCAGCACAGGCUAAGUCUGGUCGGGCUCGCUGGCUGCCACAAACAGCAUGUGAGGUCUGCGGGGCUCUCCCCGGGACCCUCUGAGCCCGAAGACGCCGGCCUGGAUGUGCCCGUUCUGCCAGGAGGGGUUAUUUCAGACGCACCACGGAGCUGCGGUUGACGCAGUUCCCAUUCCUCCUCUCACACAGAGGCGAGCAGAUGAUGAGCCACCAGGAAGGGGGUGCUGGGGUCCCUGCCUCGCUCGUGCCAACGCAAAGCGGUGCCAGGAAGGAGAGGCGAGGAGUUGAGCUCCGCGUGUGGCCAGCAACCACGGAGGCUGCGCCGCGGCUCGUGCGUGGGCGGCUCGGGCCGGGCCGCGUAGGGGAAGGCGAGCGCUGUCCUCUCUGUGUGUGCGAGAGAUGACCUUGGGAGAGGUGGCUUCAGUCACCGUCCCCGGCCUGGCAAUAUGCUCCGCUGGGAGCGAGCCAGCGCUCUGAGCAGACAGAUCUAACCUGAUCCAGGCUUGGCCUCACUGGGACGCGCUCCAGCCAUGACAUCACUCGGUAAUGCUACGUGUAUUUACUACGGGGGGAAGGUGCGGGAUUGGAGCCUGAAAUCCCUGCUUUAUCCCCUGAGCAGGUUAGGGACAGGAAGCAGCAUUAGCAGCCCCAUCCGGGUGUUCU